rnacentral:rRNA from 1 species
AUUGAACGCUGGCGGCAGGCCUAACACAUGCAAGUCGAGCGGAUGAAGGGAGCUUGCUCCUGGAUUCAGCGGCGGACGGGUGAGUAAUGCCUAGGAAUCUGCCUGGUAGUGGGGGAUAACGUCCGGAAACGGGCGCUAGUACCGCAUACGUCCUGAGGGAGAAAGUGGGGGAUCUUCGGACCUCACGCUAUCAGAUGAGCCUAGGUCGGAUUAGCUAGUUGGUGGGGUAAAGGCCUACCAAGGCGACGAUCCGUAACUGGUCUGAGAGGAUGAUCAGUCACACUGGAACUGAGACACGGUCCAGACUCCUCCGGGAGGCAGCAGUGGGGAAUAUUGGACAAUGGGCGAAAGCCUGAUCCAGCCAUGCCGCGUGUGUGAAGAAGGUCUUCGGAUUGUAAAGCACUUUAAGCUGGGAGGAAGGGCAGUAAGUUAAUACCUUGCUGUUUUGACGUUACCAACAGAAUAAGCACCGGCUAACUUCGUG